AUGCCGAGUCUGCGCCGCCUCUUGCCUCCCGUGCGGAGAUCGCGCCGCGAGGAAGAGGCCCUCUCGAGAGGGCCAGCGAGGCGGCGAGGAGAAGGGGGGCGCGCGCCGGGCCGCGUCCUUGUCCCGGCCGGCGCCCGGGGUGGGCGACGGGGCGGCGGCGGCGGUGGAGCCGGGCGAGUCCGCUGGCCUUGCUCCACGUCGGCCGGCGCGCGCGUCCCGUCCGUGGCGCGCCCACAAAGACGCCCGCCAGGCGCCGCGGGCGGCCAAGGGCCCCGCCGGCCGCGUCGGCUCCCAGCCAGGCGAGCGGCCACGCGCCCAGGCCCGCCGUCAGGAUGGCCGAGCGGUCUAAGGCGCUGCGUUCAGGUCGCAGUCUCCCCUGGAGGCGUGGGUUCGAAUCCCACUCCUGACACGCCGACCUUUUGGCCCGCCCAACCAACGCCCGCCUCCCGGGCCUCCCGCACACCCGAGCGCCGCCCUUGGCCGCCUUCCUGGCCGGCCCGGGCUGGCGCUCCGGCCUGUGGCCGCCGCGCCAAACUCCAGGCCCCUACACGCACGCCUCUCGACCCCACCAGCUUCUCACGCCCGCCGCUGCGCGGGCCUGGCGCACUCAGCCCAGGAGGCUGCCCCAGCGCCUCGAACCCACUGGCAACCGGCCUUCCCGACACAGCGCGCGCGCCCCCGCCCACUCACUCACACACCCUUCGCACCGGACCCCACACGCGGGGGCUUCAGGACUUCGCGCCACAUCGUUCCUCGCCUGCUCUCCCCUUCCCCCUCCGCACACGAGCCCCCCCCCCAUUAGGGGGUUGUGUAGCCCUCCCUCACACUCGCGCUCCCACUCCCACUCCCGCUACCCCACCCCCACCCCACCCCACCCCACCCCACCCCACCCCACCCGACCCUGCGUGUGCAAAACCCUCCAAGGGUCACCCUCCGACUUCUGCCUGGCGCACAGCGCCUCGCUCUUGGAGCGCCACGCCUGCGCAACGGGCGGCACACCGUCCAACACGCUGGCCUUUCCCACAGCCCCCGGCCGCCCGGCCCGUCCAUCCUCUCCACACCCUGCUCAGGUCGCCGUCCCCAUCUCGCUGGCCUGUGGUGCCCACCACGACUUUUCACCUCGGGGCCUCGCCCGGGCCACACAUGCCUGCCUCCCGGGCCCCACGCAGCCCGGCCUUCUGCUCGCCAGCCCAGCACAGCGCCCUCCCUGCACGGGGCCUGCCUGGCACGCGGGCCCAACCCGGCAAGCUGGCUCCGGGGAGCAGCGAGCCGAAGCCCUGGAUCCCCGUCGCCCACACGCAACGUCGGGCCCACGGCCGGGGCCAAGCCCCGUCUGCACGCGCCAAGGCGCCUCGGGGACCCAAACCCACGACCACACGACGGCGCGCCUCCUCCGCGGGCGGCCCGCCAGCCGGCAGCCACUCUGCCAAAGCGCGCCCGCCAUCCAAGAACGCGCUCCUGCCUCGCCACCAAGGCACCCCGGAGCCGGACCCUUGCGGGCGAGCCGUCGGCCAGAGCGCAGGCGCCAGGCUCAGGCCCCUCGGGUCUCUUGGCAUGAGCGCCGCUCAGCGGCGGGCGGCCGAGGCGGCGCUCCCCAGCCUGCGGCUCCCACGGCCGCCCCCACGCCACGGCCCUCCCACCCAGCCCUGCCCUGCACGGCCCUGCCCUGCCCUGCCCUGCCCUCGCCCGGCAGGCCGCGCCGUUGGCGCCCGCGCACGGCCACGCGCCCAGCGCACCCGAGGGGAAGCCCGCCGCCCAGGGGACUUGGGCACGGGCCCGUGGGUCGUCGAAGGGAACGUCGCCCGCCACACAUCGCCGCCCCUCGUUGUCAUCCGAGCGCGGGCCAGGCUGGGCGCGGCUCCUGGCUUCCUCUGGCGACGCCGGCAGGGUCGCGGCGGCCCUGGGCCGGACACAAGGCGCGGCAUGGGCCGAGGCCGCCCCGCUCUGUCGCGGCUCCUCCGCGCCUCGGCGCACAGGUGCCACCGCGCCUCCGUGUCUCCCUGCACCGCACCCCCUCCGACCGCGCCUGCCCCCCCCCGCCCGCCCCCGAGCGCCCUCCAGGGCCCCGCAGGGCCGUGA
rnacentral:tRNA from 1 species